rnacentral:rRNA from 1 species
GGAUAGUUCCUUGAACCGCAUGGUUCAAGGAUGAAAGACGGUUUCGGCUGUCACUUACAGAUGGACCCGCGGCGCAUUAGCUAUUUGGUGGGGUAAUGGCUCACCAAGGCGACGAUGCGUAGCCGACCUGAGAGGGUGAUCGGCCACACUGGGACUGAGACACGGCCCAGACUCCUACGGGAGGCAGCAGUAGGGAAUCUUCCGCAAUGGACGAAAGUCUGACGGAGCAACGCCGCGUGAGUGAUGAAGGUUUUCGGAUCGUAAAGCUCUGUUGUUAGGGAAGUACAAGUGCGAGAGUAACUGCUCGCACCUUGACGGUACCUAACCAGAAAGCCACGGCUAACUACGUGCCAGCAGCCGCGGUAAUACGUAGGUGGCAAGCGUUGUCCGGAAUUAUUGGGCGUAAAGGGCUCGCAGGCGGUUUCUUAAGUCUGAUGUGAAAGCCCCCGGCUCAACCGGGGAGGGUCAUUGGAAACUGGGAAACUUGAGUGCUAGAAGAGGAGAGUGUAAUUCCACGUGUAGCGUGAUAGCGUAGAGAUGUGGAGGAACACCAGUGGCGAAGGCGACUCUUUGGUCUGUAACUGACGCUGAGGAGCGAAAGCCUGGGGAGCGAACAGGAUUAGAUAGCUUGGUAGUCCACGCCGUAAACGAUGAGUGCUAAGUGUUAGGGGGUUUCCGCCCCUUAGUGCUGCAGCUAACGCAUUAAGCACUCCGCCUGGGGAGUACGGUCGCAAGACUGAAACUCAAAGGAAUUGACGGGGGCCCGCACAAGCGGUGGAGCAUGUGGUUUAAUUCGAAGCAACGCGAAGAACCUUACCAGGUCUUGACAUCCUCUGACAACCCUAGAGAUAGGGCUUUCCCUCUCGGGGACAGAGUGACAGGUGGUGCAUGGUUGUCGUCAGCUCGUGUCGUGAGAUGUUGGGUUAAGUCCCGCAACGAGCGCAACCCUUGAUCUUAGUUGCCAGCAUUCAGUUGGGCACUCUAAGGUGACUGCCGGUGACAAACCGGAGGAAGGUGGGGAUGACGUAAAAUCAUCAUGCCCCU